rnacentral:rRNA from 1 species
UUAGAGUUUGAUCCUGGCUCAGGACGAACGCUGGCGGCGUGCUUAACACAUGCAAGUCGAACGGGGUGUUUAUUUCGGUAAACACCAAAUGGCGAACGGGUGAGUAACGCGUAAGCAAUCUACCUUCAAGAUGGGGACAACACUUCGAAAGGGGUGCUAAUACCGAAUGAAUGUAAGAGUAUCGCAUGAGACACUUACUAAAGGAGGCCUCUGAAAAUGCUUCCGCUUGAAGAUGAGCUUGCGUCUGAUUAGCUAGUUGGUGAGGGUAAAGGCCCACCAAGGCGACGAUCAGUAGCCGGUCUGAGAGGAUGAACGGCCACAUUGGGACUGAGACACGGCCCAGACUCCUACGGGAGGCAGCAGUGGGGAAUCUUCCGCAAUGGGCGAAAGCCUGACGGAGCAACGCCGCGUGAACGAUGAAGGUCUUAGGAUCGUAAAGUUCUGUUGUUAGGGACGAAGGAUAAGGAUUAUAAUACAGUCUUUGUUUGACGGUACCUAACGAGGAAGCCACGGCUAACUACGUGCCAGCAGCCGCGGUAAUACGUAGGCGGCAAGCGUUGUCCGGAAUUAUUGGGCGUAAAGGGAGCGCAGGCGGGAAACUAAGCGGAUCUUAAAAGUGCGGGGCUCAACCCCGUGAUGGGGUCCGAACUGGUUUUCUUGAGUGCAGGAGAGGAAAGCGGAAUUCCCAGUGUAGCGGUGAAAUGCGUAGAUAUUGGGAAGAACACCAGUGGCGAAGGCGGCUUUCUGGACUGUAACUGACGCUGAGGCUCGAAAGCUAGGGUAGCGAACGGGAUUAGAUACCCCGGUAGUCCUAGCCGUAAACGAUGGAUACUAGGUGUGGGAGGUAUCGACUCCUUCCGUGCCGGAGUUAACGCAAUAAGUAUCCCGCCUGGGGAGUACGGCCGCAAGGUUGA